rnacentral:rRNA from 1 species
GAUGAACGCUGGCGGUAUGCUUAACACAUGCAAGUCGAACGGUCACUUCGGUGAUAGUGGCGGACGGGUGAGUAACGCGUGAGAAUCUGUCUUCAGGACGGGGACAACAGUUAGAAAUGACUGCUAAUACCGGAUGUGCCUUUGGGUGAAAGAUUUAUUGCCUGAAAAAGAGCUCGCGUCAGAUUAGCUAGUAGGUGGUGUAAGAGACUACCUAGGCUCCGAUCUGUAGCUGGUCUGAGAGGACGAUCAGCCACACUGGAACUGAGACACGGUCCAGACUCCUACGGGAGGCAGCAGUGGGGAAUUUUCCGCAAUGGGCGAAAGCCUGACGGAGCAAUACCGCGUGAGGGACGAAGGCUUUUGGGUCGUAAACCUCUUUUCUCAAGGAAGAUGAUGACGGUACUUGAGGAAUAAGCAUCGGCUAACUCUGUG